ACAGCCAUAUCUCAUUGAAACACCAUAUCUCAUAUGAUCACCAAAAUUAAGCAAUAUCAAACCUGGUCAGUACCUAGAUGGGUGACUGCUUGGGAAUACCAGGUGCUGUAUG